UGCAGGUGGAGCUGGAGGGAUAAGGAACUACCUCCACCUCCACAGUAUCUGGCUCCUCACUCAUGCUGGAGUCAAAUUGGUGAAGGGGGAAUUUCAUUUCACCCUAUAUGGAGUCAGUGAAGGGGGGAACAGAUCUAAAGCACUGCUGCUGUUUCUUACCUUCUCUGGACACAGGAGAACUGACAGAUGCACAGCAGGACGAGACAGACUUGUUGGGGAACUGGACCCUGUCCUGGAACUAUGAAUUCAAAGACACGGAGAUGUCUUAUUUCAGUUCCUUUGAUGAAGAAUUAUGAAGCUAUGAAAUACGAACAUCAAGCCUCCAACCUGACUUCCAUGUGGAAAUGCCUUCAAUUGAUGCCAUUCUAAAACCAGAUGAGUGCAGAGCAGUUACUGCCCCCUGAUAGCAUUCUUUAGGUUGGAGACCUGUACAGACAGUAGAAGAAAAGCUUUGGUGUCCACCACUCUAAUCCACUCAAGCCGAUCUAUCCGUCCAACUGGAUACCAGUGCAACACAUACUCAGUUCUAUGGCCUGCAAUGGCGAGCGUCGACCAGAAGAGGGCAAUACUAUGAUUAUUCAAGAAAGGAGAAACGCAGGGGGCUUCUCUAUCAGCGGCUCAUUUUCUCCACAUGCCAUUUUCAACUACACACAACGCUUGCAGAACAGUGAUGUCAUCAAGUUGACCCACGUGAAACACAGGUGGAGCGUAUCCAUCUACAAAACUAUUCAGACUCCAAUCACUCCACAGACCUACUGUAUGGUUUAUUUUUCUCCUGAUCUGGAACUCAUAAUUGGUAUACGGCUGCAGUGAGGAUAUGUUCAAAUUGCUCUCUGCAUCAGUCUGCCAAAAAGAGACAAUACAACGUGUC